UCCAGACUCCUACGGGAGGCAGCAGUGGGGAAUAUUGCACAAUGGGGGGAACCCUGAUGCAGCGACGCCGCGCGGGUGAAGGAGUACUUCGGUACGUAAAGCCCUAUCAGCAGGAAAGAAAAUGACGGUACCUGACUAAGAAGCCCCGGCUAACUACGUGCCAGCAGCCGCGGUAAUACGUAGGGGGCAAGCGUUAUCCGGAUUUACUGGGUGUAAAGGGAGCGUAGACGGCAGUGCAAGUCUGGAGUGAAAGCCCGGGGCCCAACCCCGGAACUGCUCUGGAAACUGUGCGGCUAGAGUACUGGAGGGGCAGGCGGAAUUCCUAGUGUAGCGGUGAAAUGCGUAGAUAUUAGGAGGAACACCAGUGGCGAAGGCGGCCUGCUGGACAGUAACUGACGUUGAGGCUCGAAAGCGUGGGGAGCAAACAGGAUUAGAUACCCCAGUAUCU
rnacentral:rRNA from 1 species